rnacentral:rRNA from 1 species
AGGACGAACGCUGGCGGCGUAGCUUAACACAUGCAAGUCGAACGGAGGAUUAUUCGGUAGAUCCUUAGUGGCGAACGGGUGAGUAACGCGUGGGCAAUCUGCCCUUCAGAUGGGGACAACAUCCCGAAAGGGGUGCUAAUACCGAAUACGAUCCUUCCACCGCAUGGAGGGGGGAUGAAAGAUGGCCUCUAUAUAUAAGCUAUCGCUGAAGGAUGAGCCUGCGUCUGAUUAGCUUGUUGGUGGGGUAACGGCCUACCAAGGCGAUGAUCAGUAGCCGGUCUGAGAGGAUGAACGGCCACAUUGGGACUGAGACACGGCCCAAACUCCUACGGGAGGCAGCAGUGGGGAAUAUUCCGCAAUGGACGAAAGUCUGACGGAGCAACGCCGCGUGAGUGAUGAAGGUUUUCGGACUGUAAAGCUCUGUUGUUUGGGACGAAAGUGCCUGUUGCGAACAGUUACGGGUAUUGACGGUACUAAACGAGGAAGCCACGGCUAACUACGUGCCAGCCGCUGC